UAUUAAUUUUUUGCAGAAAUGUUCAGUUACAUACCUCCUUUGGAGAUGCUCUAAGAGCAGCUCCAUCAGUUAAAACCUCUAAAAAUUUCUAAAACAAAAAAAUAAUGUUAUUAUAAUAAUUUAGUUACACAUUAAUUUUUUAAAACCAAUUGAAACAAUGAUAGUGUAACAUCUGUCGUUUGAUGUUUAGAACCAGUCCUUAAAUGCUCUAAUUAAGAACUUUUCUACGCUUUCUUACUAAUAUUAAUUACUUUUUCAUUUUUCUUUAAUUUUAAGAACUUCUUUAAAAGCUCACCAAUAGAGCUGGUCUAAGUAUUUAAAAGGAAGGUGAUCAUUUUCUCUCAACCCAAAAUAAAACAUCUCCAGAAAAGGAAAAGAGAUAGAAAGAUAAGGAAAAGAGAUAGAAAGAUAACAAUGUCGGCACAGAAGAUUCAAUUUGCUUCUUUGAUCCUAGCUUUUUCUCUUCUGUUUUCUCAAUCAACUGGUGAGUGUAACUAUAGAUACCCAGUACCACCCGUAGCAAUUUGUAAGAAGAAUGACGACUGCAAGAACGCGUGCGUGCCGCCUUCAGAAGAUCCAAAUUAUCUAGAGUGCAUUACUUCCCGUUCUCCCCCAAAGUAUUUUGGCACAUGUUGUUGUUUACUAAAAGAAAAAUAGUCUUACCUAUCAUAAGAUUUAAUAUCAAUCUAAAAAAUAAUGUUUGCAUCGUUUGAAA